rnacentral:rRNA from 1 species
GAUGAACGCUGGCGGGGUGCCUAAUACAUGCAAGUCGAGCGAACGGACGAGAAGCUUGCUUCUCUGAUGUUAGCGGCGGACGGGUGAGUAACACGUGGAUAACCUACCUAUAAGACUGGGAUAACUUCGGGAAACCGGAGCUAAUACCGGAUGAUAUUUUGAACCGCAUGGUUCAAAAGUGAAAGACGGUCUUGCUGUCACUUAUAGAUGGAUCCGCGCUGCAUUAGCUAGUUGGUAAGGUAACGGCUUACCAAGGCAACGAUGCUUAGCCGACCUGAGAGGGUGAUCGGCCACACUGGAACUGAGACACGGUCCAGACUCCUACGAGAAGCAGCAGUAGGGAAUCUUCCGCAAUGGGCGAAAGCCUGACGGAGCAACGCCGCGUGAGUGAUGAAGGUCUUCGGAUCGUAAAACUCUGUUAUUAGGGAAGAACAUAUGUGUAAGUAACUGUGCACAUCUUGACGGUACCUAAUCAGAAAGCCACGGCUAACUACGUG